UACGUAGGGUGCAAGCGUUGUCCGGAAUUAUUGGGCGUAAAGAGCUCGUAGGCGGUCUGUCGCGUCUGCUGUGAAAACUCGGGGCUUAACCCCGGGCCUGCAGUGGGUACGGGCAGACUAGAGUGCGGUAGGGGAGACUGGAAUUCCUGGUGUAGCGGUGAAAUGCGUAGAUAUCAGGAAGAACACCUAUGGCGAAAGCAGCUCUCUGGGACGGUACUGACGCUGAGACGCGAAAGCGUGGGGAGCGAACAGG
rnacentral:rRNA from 1 species